rnacentral:lncRNA from 1 species
AUUUUGGGUUGGUUCAUGCAUUUGACUGGGUUAUUUUUUUCUCCUUGUUGGUUGCUUCAAGGAAACAGAUUCGUUGGGCAUCUCUGUAACCUCCCAUCCCUGAUACUUUCAAGACGACUUAAGAGGCCUCCACACUCACAGGCUUGCGUGAGUUUGUGACUUCACAGAGGAUGUGACAGAGGGAGAAAGGGUUUACCUUGCCUGGCACACAACUGCUAGCUUCAAAUCCCUGUUACACAUUCUCUUCUACAAAGACCCUUUCUGGUCAUGGCCCCACAAAGUGUUUUUCUCUUUGCCUUCUCCUAAGAAGACCUUAGACUCAUGACCUUUGCUCUCCCUCUGGGAUUCCCGGCUCCACUCCAAACUUGCACACCCAAACCUGUGCGGGUGCUCAGCAGGACAAAGGCCCUCCACCGUGACGGUCAGUUGUACAGCACAGCUGGCUGCCUCUUACACGGACCAUGGCUACUGGUGCUGAGCAGGCACUGUGCUGGCUCUAGUGACCCGGGGCGUUUGCCAGUAGGCAGAGCUAGAUACAUCAGCAACCACCAAGGACGAGGGUGGCAUUCGAUGUCUUCCUGGCGGAUGCUGUGUGACGCUGAUGGGCCUGCCCUAACCCCCUCCUCCCCCAACACUGCCCUCUCUCUCACCUCCGUGGCAUGUCUUAAGAACUCCUGAAGAUGUCACAUAAGGUAAAUGCCAUGUUGUCUGCAAGGAGGUGGACCUUACGGGAGCAUUAGAACUAAUCAACAAGAAGAAAGGAGGCUGGAGGCCUCUUCUUUAGGGAAGAUAUUCUGUCUCCAAUAAAGGUGAAGAAUCUGCAGGAGUGGGGAAUGGAGAAGCGAAGAGAAAUCCUUCUAUGUACCAGAUGUGUCCUGACAUGUCAUGUGUCUGAUUCUCCACAAAGCUCCAAGGCAAAUUAAAUGUGCCUGACGAACAAGAAGUGGGCGUGGCUGUGAGUGCUGCGGCUAGAGGGCGCUGUCAGCCCGCAUCACAAUUAAACUGAAAUGGUCCCCAAACGAAAAUGUCUGACUCUUGGCCAGACGUGUUGGUUAACUUGAUUCCAUGCCCGUCGUCUACAGUUGUACAGUGCAGACAUCCAAACAGUUAUUCUAUUGGCCCCAGGAACAGUGAUGCACUUAAGCUUUUAAUUUGCUUGAUAGCAUUGCAGCCUUUCUA